rnacentral:rRNA from 1 species
AACGAACGCUGGCGGCAUGCCUAACACAUGCAAGUCGAACGAAUCCUUCGGGUCUAGUGGCUCACGGGUGCGUAACGCGUGGGAACCUGCCCUUAGGUUCGGAAUAACUCCCCGUAAGGGGUGCUAAUACCGGUUAAUGUCUUCGGACCAAAGAUUUAUCGCCUUUGGAUGGGCCCGCGUUGGAUUAGCUAGUUGGUAGGGUAAAAGCCUACCAAGGCGACGAUCCAUAGCUGGUCUGAGAGGAUGAUCAGCCACACUGGGACUGAGACACGACCCAGACUCCUACGGGAGGCAGCAGUGGGGAAUAUUGGACAAUGGGCGAAAGCCUGAUCCAGCAAUGCCGCGUGAGUGAUGAAGGCCUUAGGGUUGUAAAGCUCUUUUACCCGGGAUGAUAAUGACAGUACCGGGAGAAUAAGCGCCGGCUAACUCCGUG